rnacentral:rRNA from 1 species
GUUNACCUCGGAUCAAGUAUGGAUACCCGCUGAACUUAA